UACGUAGGGUGCGAGCGUUGUCCGGAAUUAUUGGGCGUAAAGGGCUCGUAGGCGGUUUGUCGCGUCGGGAGUGAAAUCCACUGGCUUAACUGGUGGCUUGCUUUCGAUACGGGCAGACUGGAGGUAUGCAGGGGAGAACGGAAUUCCUGGUGUAGCGGUGAAAUGCGUAGAUAUCUGGAGGAACACCGGUGGCGAAGGCGGCAUCCUGGACCGACACUGACGCUGAGGAGCGAAAGCCAGGGGAGCAAAGCGGGG
rnacentral:rRNA from 1 species